UCUAGCCUAGACACCCAUCCCUUUGGAGGAAUCUCUUUUCUGUACCCCUGGACAAAGCACAGGUGUCAAAUCCCCUGAGAAGACUUCCCUGUUCUUUCAAGGGCGCCUUUUCAAGUGAUGAGCUGGGACUUUCCUGCUUGACUUCUGGACUCCCACAGCAGCAUUCUCAUUGGUUUCUUGUCAAAAUUCAACACUUUUCAUAGUGAAAGUCUGCUGGCAAAAACUUCCCUUAGCUCCGGUCAUCUAAAAAAGGUC